UGCUGUGUAAGGUGGAUGCUGGCCAU
rnacentral:piRNA from 1 species